GUGCUUGCUUUGGCAGCACAUACACUAAAAUUGGAACGAUACAGAGAAGAUUAGCAUGGCCCCUGUGCAAGGAUGACAUGCAAAUUCAUGAAGCAUUCCAUAUUGAG